rnacentral:rRNA from 1 species
ACCUUGAGUCCCCUGAAGGGCGUCGAAGACUACGACGUUGAUAGGUCGGGUGUGUAAGCGCUGUGAGGCGUUGAGCUAACCGAUACUAAUUGCCCGUGAGGCUUGACCAUAUAACACCCAAACAAUU